rnacentral:lncRNA from 1 species
AAUCUAGCAAUAUACUUCAUUAUAUUAUGAAAAGGUUGUUGGUGGUUAACAACAUAUAACAAAGAAAGAUAUGAGACUUUUUAGUGGUUUGUGAGGUUGGUUUUGCAUGGCAUCGACUUGAACUGAUGGUGCAGAGCUGCAGUAACAAAUUCGGAAUCAUAACCGAAAUUAGGGGUGUUCGCGGUGCGGGCGGUGCGGUUUUUUCCUAAAACCGCGAACCAAUCCGCGCAUGUGGUUUAGGAAAAUUCGUAAACCGCAACCGCAUCGCGUAAUAUAAAAACCGCGUAAACCACACCACAAAAUUGCGGUGCGGUGUGAUGCGGUUCAUGCGGUUUGCGUGGUUUAUACAUUCAAAAAAUUUAUACUUUUGAAUGACAAUAUAAAUAUAAUUUUAAAUUAUAUGUAUUUAAAAAUAAUUUUUAUAAUCUAUUAAUACACACACACAAAUUUAGAGUUACGAUACUCAUCAAAAGAAAUAUGAACUAAAAUAUGAGUAUGAUAAUGAUGAAGAUGAAAAUAUUUCAACACUAACAAGUUAUUUAAUAGAAAAUAAAUAUAAUUAUAAUAUUUAAUUUGUCGUCUUAAAACUAACUUUAAUUUUUAUUGUAAAAUUAUUAAAAUUAAGUUAAGUAACUUGAACAUAUAUAUAAUAUAUACACAAAUAGGAGUUAACAUAUAUAUACACACAUAAAAGAUAACAUCAUAAUAAAUUUUAAAUCUAUAUAAUAUAAAUAUUUGUAAUUAUAUGAGAUAUAUUUUUAUAUAUUAGAAAGUAGCGGUGCGGUGCGGUUUGAACCGCGGUUGUAUAAUGUUAAACCGCAACCCGCACCGCACCGCGCGGUUUGUUAAAAUUUCAACCCGCAACCGCACCACGAAAAAGAAAAACCGCAUUUUGCGGUGUGGUGCGGAGCGGUGCGGGCGGUUUAUGCGGUGUGGGCGGUUUGAUGAACACCCC